GACGAACGCUGGCGGCGGGCUUAACACAUGCAAGUCGAACGGAGUGGCGAACGGGUGAGUAACACGUGGGUGAACUGCCCUGCACUUCGGGAUAAGCCUGGGAAACUGGGUCUAAUACCGGAUAGUGUGGGAUGGGCACGCGGCCUAUCGGCUUGUUGGUGGGGUACUGGCCUACCAAGGCGGCGCCGGGUAGCCGGCCUGAGAGGGUGGACGGCCACAAUGGGACUAAGGCACGGCGCAGAGUCCUACUGGAGGCAGGAGUGGGUAAGAUUGCGCAAUCGGCGGAAGCCUGAUGCAGCGACGCCGCGUGGGGGAGGACGGCCUUCGGGGUGGAAACUCCUUUCACCAUCGACGCGGUAGAUGGAGAAGAAGCACCGGCUAACUACGUGCCAGCAGCCGCGGUAAUUC
rnacentral:rRNA from 1 species